AACGAACCCACACACGUUCCAACGUUGG
rnacentral:sRNA from 1 species